AGUGAACGCUGGCGGUAGGCCUAACACAUGCAAGUCGAACGGCAGCACAGUAAGAGCUUGCUCUUACGGGUGGCGAGUGGCGGACGGGUGAGGAAUACAUCGGAAUCUACUUUUUCGUGGGGGAUAACGUAGGGAAACUUACGCUAAUACCGCAUACGACCUACGGGUGAAAGCAGGGGAUCUUCGGACCUUGCGCGAUUGAAUGAGCCGAUGUCGGAUUAGCUAGUUGGCGGGGUAAAGGCCCACCAAGGCGACGAUCCGUAGCUGGUCUGAGAGGAUGAUCAGCCACACUGGAACUGAGACACGGUCCAGACUCCUACGGGAGGCAGCAGUGGGGAAUAUUGGACAAUGGGCGCAAGCCUGACCGAGCCAUACCGCGUGGGUGAAGAAGGUCUUCGGGUUGUAAAGCUCUUUUGUUGGGAAAGAAAAGCAGCAUGUUAAUACCCCGCUGUUUUGACGGUACCCAAAGAAUAAGCACCGGCUAACUUCGUG
rnacentral:rRNA from 1 species